CUUGAAAUUCGUUUUCAGAUAUUGAUUUAUUAAAAAACAAAUCUCUCCUGAGAAAGUUAGUAUUUAGCCUUCAGAAUGAGGUGUGAGUAUUAUUUAGAAAAUAAGGGAUGGGGCCACAUGUAGAGAAGCAAGGAUUCUAAUCGGGUACUCUUCAUUCCAUUAAUGGAACAAUAAAGGCCUUCUCAGAUGAGUCAUAGAGUGAUCUUGUCACUGGAGCACAUUUUGCAUGUAUAUUCACAGGACAGCUGUAUUAGCCACAUGGGCUAACUUCUGGCCAAGUGCAGACUGAGGAGGUGUUUGUCGAUAACCAAAGAGAGAAGCUGAAGGAUGCUGCAGGUUUCCUUUUGGAUCAUUCUGAAUCGUGAAUGCCCAAUGGGCUUUUCUGUGGUAGGAGAGUUCAUGGUUGCAGAGGGCUGAGUCCCAGCACUUACCUGCCAAGGGUGAGACCGAGCACUUACCAGCUAAGCUGAGAGCCUCUCUUCAGGAAUUCAGAGUGCAAGACUCACAGACUUUGAAGUAGUGUAUUUUCUCUCUUAUCUACAAGCUGGAAGAGUGCCCAAAGCGUAUCAGCUCAUCAGCCAGCCAUUUGUACCUGCUGCUCACUGUCUGCUACUGCUAAAUAUAUGCUAAUGAUGCUAUCUGAGCCUUGGGAUGAAUUUGUAAAUUGUGCUCAUGGCAGGGAAAUGAAUGCUACUUACAAAGGUGACAGAGAA
rnacentral:lncRNA from 1 species